rnacentral:rRNA from 1 species
AGAGUUUGAUCCUGGCUCAGGAUGAACGCUGGCGGCGUGCUUAACACAUGCAAGUCGAACGGAAAGGCCAGUGCUUGCGCUGGUACUCGAGUGGCGAACGGGUGAGUAACACGUGGGUGAUCUGCCCUGCACUUCGGGAUAAGCUUGGGAAACUGGGUCUAAUACCGGAUAGGACCAUUGGUUGGUGCCUUUGGUGGAAAGUUUUUUCGGUGUGGGAUGAGCUCGCGGCCUAUCAGCUUGUUGGUGGGGUAAUGGCCUACCAAGGCGUCGACGGGUAGCCGGCCUGAGAGGGUGUACGGCCACAUUGGGACUGAGAUACGGCCCAGACUCCUACGGGAGGCAGCAGUGGGAAUAUUGCACAAUGGGCGCAAGCCUGAUACAGCGACGCCGCGUGGGGAUGACGGCCUUCGGGUUGUAAACUCCUUUCGCCAAAGACGAAUGUGGACGGUAUUUGGAGAAGAAGCACCGGCUAACUACGUG